rnacentral:lncRNA from 1 species
GGCGGCGGCUGAUGAGCUGACAUCUGCCCACCGUGAAGAAACUCACGUGCAAUAGCUUGGAACUCGCCGCCUCCUCCGAUACUGGACGAUUGCGAGACACCGAAGAGAUGAUCCGACGGUCGAGGUUGUUGCUGCAUGGGCCACGUGGAUGACAUCGGCUCAAAGAUUGGGGAGAGGUCGUACAUCGACGGUGUUAUUGUGGGCAGGUCUGAUAUGGAAAGAGGCGGCAGAGAUCCAGAAGACGUCACCGUGGCCGGCGGUGGCUGUGGCAGCUCUAGAGUUGCUAAAUGUGCUUGUACAUAUGAAAGCUCAUUUUGCAAACUCACCACCUGUUUUUUUUUAGACAAAAUCCAUGCAAAUGCUUAAAAAUUAAUACCAAGAAAAUAUUAAAGAGAUGUAAUAAUCUAAAUAUUGAUACUUUCAGCAAUAAAUGAUUACAUGAGUUUCCCAAUUCUCGAGCAAAUGUUGAUUCACUUAUGCCCAAAACACACGACAUGACUAAUUGCUUGCUUGUAACAUUUAAAAUACCCUUCACUAAUAUCAGUUUAUUGGAUGCAAUUGCACAAAUAUUCGAGUAUGUAACAAGCAUACUUUAUUUGAUCAAAGCAAUUGAUAUAUUUAUAUAUUGAAAAGACGCUUAGAAAUAAGCGUACAACUACGUGUUUUUGCGAACAGAGAAAGACAUCUCUUCUCAAUCAGUGGCUUGGAUUAACUUAGAAAACAUCUUUGUAAACAUUUAUUUAUAAAAAGUAAUACAACGUAUGCUCAAUGUGCUAAUUAAAUUAAAUUCAGAGAGAGAGAGGCCUUCAACUGUUCUGUAACGCAUUAGAUCAUGUCAUACAAGUAAGUAUGCAUACACUUUAUUACUAAACUAGUUGAUGGCGGACUAAUAUAUCCCAAUCAAUUGUAACUUUAACAUACUUUUUUAUUUUAAUCUAAAUUAAUUUAUUAGUUUCAAGUAUUAAAUUUAAUAUCUAAUCUAUAUAAUGUAAUUUUUUUUAUUACAACACAACUUAAUAAUGGCUUGGUAAUUAACUUGCAAAAUCUUUUAUCUAUUUUAUUAUCAAACCACAAAUGUAAAAAGCAUUAUCAUUGUAACAACAUAAUAAAGUUUUAUGAACACUUUAAAAUAACAUAAGAGAUAUAUCUACAAAAUAAACUAUAAUUACAAAUAAAGCGUAUGAAAGCAAACUCCUCUUCAUCAAAUAAUAUUAUAGAUGAUUGAACAUUUUUCCUUUUUCGAUGAUUCCUACUAACAUUAGUUUAAUUACAUUUUAUCGGAAUUUCUGUUUCAUCCGAGUUUAUAGUAGCACUUAUUAAAAAAAUAUACAAUAACUAAAAAAAUCUUUCUAUUCAACUAAAACCUAAUAAACUAAUGGUAAUAAAUUAUAUAUGUUUAGUAAAAGCUAGAUUUUUAAUUAUAACGAUAAGAUAUUAUAUUCUUUGGAGUCAUAGUUUUUUAUUGGUAAUCUGAUAUUAACGAAACUCAUAACACUACUCUUCCGUGACAUAAACUAAAAAUAUGUCAAAUAAGCAUAAUUAAUAAAAACAUGACCAAUGAAAACACAAGACGAUUAAUUAUGCUUAUUUGACAUAUUUUUAUUUUAUGUCACAGAAGAGUAGUGUUAUGAGAUUAGUUAACAUCAAGUUAACAAUCAAAAGCUAUGAAUCCAAACAAUCUAAUAUCUUGUCGUUAUAAUUAAAAAUCCAGCUUUUACGAGACAUAUAUAAUUUAUUAUUUCUAGUUUAAAAGGUUUUAGUUAAAUAGAAGUAUUUUUAAUUAUUGUAUAUUUUAUUAACAGAUAUCACUAUAAACUCGGAUGAAGAGGAAAUUUAAAUAAAAUGAAAUUAAACUAAUGUUCGUAGGAAUCAUCGAAAAAGGAAAAAUGUUCAAUCAUCUAUAAUAUUAUUUGAUGAAGAUUAUGAUUAAGGCUAGGAAUGCAAUUAUAAAUUAAUUAUUUUUAUUUUUCUCUGUAGAUUAUCAUGCUGAUAAUCGUAAGUCCUUAUUACUAAAACAAAAAAAAAGGACCACGAAUGAGAACAAAUCGCAGCUAAAACACAAGACGAUUUUUUUCGUCAAUGCUUAAGAGAGAGUACUUUGCAUGAGCUUGGGUAAAUGGGUAGAAACGAAAGCAAAGGAAGAGAGAAAUAUCAACAAUUUUCUUUUGUUAUAAAAAAAAGAAAAGGAAACUGGUAAGAUAACUGAUGAAUGUCACGACCUACAGACAGUAUAUUGACUUAAAAUUCUUGCGAUUUCCCAUCAUACUAUAUGAUAGUAAUAAGUUAUAGUAUUAAUAGAAUAAUUGUUUAUUUAAUAGUAUUAAUGGAAAAAUUAAAUUACCUGUUGCUGAAGAGAGACGAUGUGGGAGACGCAGCCGUAGAUAGGGUCUCGGAGACGAGACUGAGCCUCGAAACAGAUUGAAACGACAGCGUCUGCCCGUUUAUGCUCGGGAAUAUGGUGGAGGAGUUUUGAAACGUUGCUCGCUCCGAACACCUUAUGAACCGCCGCGAAGUGCGCCGCUCCUUGAUCGGAGUCGAAAUAGGGUGCGAAUAUGCAGCCGGGAACGCACUUCCGUCUCAAGAACUUACAGGCGCCACACGGUCCACCUCCACCGCUGCUGCUAGGGCUUCCGCUACUGCUCAUCUUCCUGAUUAGGGUUUUGAGAGAUAUAUAUGGAGCUAAUUCAACCAGGUUAGGUUGAUUAGCAGGAAAAAUUGGGAACGUUUGGGAGAGAAAGAGAGGAGUCGGACGUAAACAAAACUAGGGCUUGGUUGGUGCUUAUUGGAAACUUUUUAUUUCCCCCAAUAAUACAUUAAUUAAUUGUAGUAUCUAAUAGUAUUUAAUAAAUAAAUAAGCAUAAUAAAUUAAUUUUUUUUUUAACACUGUAUAUAUUAUGCUAUUACAAACUCGGAAAAAUAUUACAGACGGUUUUACUGCCGACAAUUCUACCUGCUUUAUGAAGAUUCACGUCUGACUGCAUCAUCUAAGCCGUCCUAUCGGAUCCACCUUUGACGGUACUUCUUGCAUCAUGCUGCAAAUCUCUUGUAAGUUGUUUUCGCAUAAUUCUGCUUUUUCCAGGAAUCGAAACCCAGACCUGCUGGUGUAAAAGCAUUAAUGAACCCUUGGUCAAACCACUGGACAACGGGGUUUCCAAAAUAAAUUAACUUGUAGGAACCCGAAUUGAGGUGAUGUCAAAAUGACAAACUUAGAUAAAAUAAUAAGAUAAUAACUUUUUGAAAAAAAAUUAUGUAAAUAUAUGGUCCCAAUGUAAACAUAAAUUAAUAUAAACUUUUUAUAAAUAUAAAAAUAUAUUGUAUAGUUUGUAUAUGUAAAAUUUAAUUAAUAUAUAUACAGUAAAAUCAAAUAUUUUUCUUAUUUUCACAUACAAAUAUAGAAGAGAAUUUUUUUGUAAAUUAAUAAAUAAUUAAAGAUCCAACACUACUAAUUUAUAGAAUUGUUACUGUACUACUAGUAGUUAAGAAAACAAAUGCUGUCAAAAGUAUAAAUCAUUUAUACUUUUCUUUUAAAAUAUCAUUUAAUUAGUUGUAUUAUUACCAAAAAAAACUAAGACGGUUAAGACAAGAUGAAAAAAAAAAAUUUCUUUUAAGCCACGCGAUCAAUCGUACUUGUCUCGUAUUAAGCUCUUUGCGUGAAGCAAAACAUUCCAUAUCUCUUAACUUCUUCAUUGCCAUUCCCUUCCUUUUUCUUCUACUUCUGGUUUAAAUUUAUUUUUGUUACAAUCAGUCCACACAGAUGAAUCUUUACUUAUAUAGAAAUGUAUUGAUGCAGGCUCAUUCUAAUAAAAUUAGACUUUAGAUUUACAAAGUAACAGUUAUUUAAAAAUGACCUUACAACUAAUCAUAAUAUUAAUUUUUUUAAAAAAUAAUCAAUUAAAAUUGUUAUUAUCAUUGAAUAUCAUUAUUUUUGACAUAAUUUGAGUUUUCGUUUACAUCAAAACUUAUCAUAUUUUAGGAUAAUUUUAAUUUAAAAUGUAAUUUUCAUAUUUUUUAAAAAAAUUCUAAAAUAUUUUUUAAAUAUUUUGUUAUAAUUGUUAAAAAAAUAUUGAGUUGUAUUUCAAAUAAAAAGGUAAAGAUAUUAAAAAUAUUCUAAUUAAAAUAUGUAAAAUUUAAUAUAGUUUUAAGGAAAUGGUCAAAAUAAAAAAAAUUACACAUAAAAUAAUCAUGAUUUUUGUUAACUGGGCGGAUCAUUAUUUAUAUGAUAUCGCACACGAAAGAAAAUUUUUUAUUUUUAAAAUUAUCUAAUUAACUCUAUACUCAUUUUUUUUUUUAUAUGAUAUCACACAUUCGUAAAAAAUAAAUAGUUUAAGAUGCAAAAAACAAAUAUUUACUUAAUGAAUAUAAUAUGAACAAAUAUUACAAUUACAUCAUUUAAUAAAAUAAAUAAUUAAAAACUGAAAAUUCAUAUCCGCGCUCAGGGUCUAGUUAACAUUAUAGCCAAAAAUUAAAAUGUGAAUUCUUCGACCAAGUAUUAUAAAUACAUAUAACAAAGAGGAGCAUAUGGCUAAUUAUAGAUCUCAUAAGGUCCAAAACUGAACCAACAUAUAUAUAUAUAUAAAAUAUAAGCAUCAUUCUCUUUUUAUCACUGUUGGGGCAGAACCACCGGUCUCCGGCGGCGGCUGAUGAGCUGACAUCUGCCCACCGUGAAGAAACUCACGUGCAAUAGCUUGGAACUCGCCGCCUCCUCCGAUACUGGACGAUUGCGAGACACCGAAGAGAUGAUCCGACGGUCGAGGUUGUUGCUGCAUGGGCCACGUGGAUGACAUCGGCUCAAAGAUUGGGGAGAGGUCGUACAUCGACGGUGUUAUUGUGGGCAGGUCUGAUAUGGAAAGAGGCGGCAGAGAUCCAGAAGACGUCACCGUGGCCGGCGGUGGCUGUGGCAGCUCUAGAGUUGCUAAAUGUGCUUGUACAUAUGAAAGCUCAUUUUGCAAACUCACCACC